AUUGAACGCUGGCGGUAGGCCUAACACAUGCAAGUCGAACGGUAACGGACCGCUGGGAUUCCUUCGGGAUGACCUUGGUGCCGACGAGUGGCGGACGGGUGAGUAACACGUGAAUAAUCUGCCUACGAAUUCGGGAUAACUCGGCGAAAGUUGUGCUAAUACCGGAUAAGACCACGCUCCUAAUGGAGCGUGGCCAAAGGAGUCUCAAACUCCGUUUGUAGAUGAGUUCGCGGACCAUUAGCUUGUUGGCGGGAUAACAGCCCACCAAGGCGACGAUGGUUAGCCGGCCUGAAAGGGCGAUCGGCCACACUGGAACUGAGACACGGUCCAGACCUCCGUACGGGAGGCAGCAGGUGGGAAUAUUGCACAAUGGAAGGAAACUCUGAUGCAGCAAUGUCGCGUGAGUAGAAG
rnacentral:rRNA from 1 species